UAAUACAGUGCUUACACAGCUUGCUUUACAAUAAAACAUGAUUUUUCUUCCUUUUCUUUAAACAAAAGAUUUUCAUUGAAAUAAAAUCAAUUAGAUUUUGUAGCAGUGCUUGAAACCCAACAACCAAAACAGACAACUGAUCUGUAGUUGUGACAGUGCCUCUAUUAGAAUGUACAAUACUUCAUUAGCAGAUAUUCUCUGUAUAAAUAGGCUGUCCUUUGAAGGCUCUACUGGAGACACAACCAUUUAUGUAAUAAAAAGAUACCAGCAGGGAUCCGGGGAUUUAGCUCAGUGGUUCCAGGGGCUGCUUUGCAAGCACAAGGUCCCAAGUUUGAUCCCCGGUACCCCUCCCCCCCCAAAAAAAGAUACUGGCAAAUCAAGUUCCUAGUCUCAGUCUUUGCACAGCUGUCUGAUACAUCCUAGUGUAUGAGAUCCUUUAAGUUUACAGUCAUCUUUUUGUGAUAUUAGUGAAGUAAAAGUGUUUUAUGAUACAAUUCUGUAUUGGAAGAUUGUACUGAAAGUCAACUUAAAUGUUUUUUCACUGGAGUCAGCUGCCCUCUAGCAAUGUCCAGAGAAACUUUGGAUGUCACGCUGAGGAAGGGAAUGCACUGACAUCUUAUGGACAGAAGUCAUCCAUGCUGCUAUGCUUGCUGCACAGAAGAGGCCCCUGCAAUAAAGAAUCUUUCAGCUUAAGAUGUGAAUGCCGAGACUGAGAAACUGAAAAUAGAAUAUGUGAGCAUGGACGGGAAAGUUAAUGAAACAUCAACUGAUCAUGGUGUUCAUGCCUCAGAGUGGCCUGUCCCCAGCAAAGACUUCAAAGAUUUGUGCUGGAUGAACAUGAAUAGGGUCAAAGACUUGUGAAAAUGUCAGGUACAUAUGUUCAAGAUGGAGACAAAAGCAAUCCACUGAUCUCUGUGAGCAAACAAGAAAGACGGGGGGCCUUGAGCAAACAAGUUUCAGAGCAUGAAAGUCACAGUACUUAAUGAACUGUCAGUUGGGAACUACCUACCCUCAGCACAGGCAACACAGGAAUUUGUAGAAAACCACUGGCCAAAUUUCCUCAUUUAUCUUUAGUUUGGCUGACAAAAACAUUCACAAAUAUUUUGGAAAGAUUCCAUACAUUUUUAAAAACUAUGCUCUUUUGGUUAGCUGUAUUAGGCCUCGUCCACUGUCCUAUCGGUCUGUAACUCCAGCAGGAAGAAAUCGGAGACAAACGCGAUUUUUAAAACACAUUUUUAUAAAGACAAGAUUAAAACCGGUAAAUUAAAGUGAAUUCUUUGAGCAAAUUCAUUAAAUUGGCCAUUCAGCAGUUGGCUUUUGAGCAGUUGAUCUAUAACAUCUAAAUG
rnacentral:lncRNA from 1 species